rnacentral:rRNA from 1 species
CCUACGGGAGGCUGCAGUGGGGAAUUUUGGACAAUGGGGGCAACCCUGAUCCAGCCAUGCCGCGUGCGGGAAGAAGGCCUUCGGGUUGUAAACCGCUUUUAGCCGGGAAGAAAAGGCGCGGGAUAACACCCUUCGUUCUUGACGGUACCGGCGGAAUAAGCACCGGCUAACUACGUGCCAGCAGCCGCGGUAAUACGUAGGGUGCUUGCGUUAAGCGGAAUUACUGGGCGCGAAGCGUGCGCAGGCGUGUGAAAGCCCCGGGCUCAACCUGGGAAUGGCAUUGGAUACUGGCGGGCUGGCGUGUGGCAGAGGGGGGUGGAAUUCCGCGUGUAGCAGUGAAAUGCGUAGAGAUGCGGAGGAACACCGAUGGCGAAGGCAGCCCCCUGGGCUGACACUGACGCUCAGGCACGAAAGCGUGGGGAGCAAACAGGAUUAGAUACCCGUGUAGUC